AACGUAGGAGGCAAGCGUUAUCCGGAGUUACUGGGCGUAAAGAGUGUGUAGGCGGCAGUGUAAGCGGCUUGUGAAAGCGCCCGGCUAAACUGGGCGAGGACAGGUCAGACUGAACCGCUAGAGGACGAUAGAGGGGUGCGGUAUUCCGGGGGUAGCGGUGAAAUGUGUAGAGAUCCGGAGGAACACCAGUGGUGCAGACGGCGCCCUGGGUCGUACCUGACGCUGAGACGCGAAAGCGUGGGGGGCCAACGGG
rnacentral:rRNA from 1 species